rnacentral:rRNA from 1 species
GACAGAGGAUGCAAGCGUUAUCCGGAAUGAUUGGGCGUAAAGCGUCUGUAGGUGGCUUUUCAAGUCCGCCGUCAAAUCCCAGGGCUCAACCCUGGACAGGCGGUGGAAACUACCAAGCUGGAGUACGGUAGGGGCAGAGGGAAUUUCCGGUGGAGCGGUGAAAUGCGUAGAGAUCGGAAAGAACACCGAAUGGCGAAAGCACUCUGCUGGGCCGACACUGACACUGGAGAGACGAAAGCUAGGGGAGCAAAUGGG